rnacentral:rRNA from 1 species
GUGAGUUACGACGGCAGUGAUUAGAGUUUGAUCAUGGCUCAGCAUGGCACAGGAAGAGUUUGAUCCUGGCUCAGGAUGAACGCUAGCUACAGGCUUAACACAUGCAAGUCGAGGGGCAGCAUGAUCGAAGCUUGCUUUGAUUGAUGGCGACCGGCGCACGGGUGAGUAACGCGUAUCCAACCUUCCCUAUAGUAGAGAAUAGCCCGGCGAAAGUCGGAUUAAUGCUCUAUGUUGUAUUUAGAAGACAUCUGAAGAAUACCAAAGGUUUACCGCUAUAGGAUGGGGAUGCGUCUGAUUAGGUAGUAGGCGGGGUAACGGCCCACCUAGCCGACGAUCAGUAGGGGUUCUGAGAGGAAGGUCCCCCACAUUGGAACUGAGACACGGUCCAAACUCCUACGGGAGGCAGCAGUGAGGAAUAUUGGUCAAUGGACGGAAGUCUGAACCAGCCAAGUAGCGUGCAGGAUGACGGCCCUAUGGGUUGUAAACUGCUUUUAUAUAGGGAUAAAGUCGGGGACGUGUCCCCGUUUGUAGGUACUAUAUGAAUAAGGACCGGCUAAUUCCGUGCCAGCAGCCGCGGUAAUACGGAAGGUCCAGGCGUUAUCCGGAUUUAUUGGGUUUAAAGGGAGCGCAGGCUGAUGAUUAAGCGUGACGUGAAAUGUAGCCGCUCAACGGCUGAACUGCGUCGCGAACUGGUUAUCUUGAGUGAGUUCGAUGUUGGCGGAAUUCGUGGUGUAGCGGUGAAAUGCUUAGAUAUCACGAAGAACUCCGAUUGCGAAGGCAGCCAACAAGGCCUUUACUGACGCUAAAGCUCGAAGGUGCGGGUAUCGAACAGGAUUAGAUACCCUGGUAGUCCGCACGGUAAACGAUGGAUGCCCGCUGUUUGCGAUAUACUGUGAGCGGCCAAGAGAAAUCGUUAAGCAUCCCACCUGGGGAGUACGCCGGCACGGUGAAACUCAAAGGAAUUGACGGGGGCCCGCACAGCGGAGACAUGUGGUUUAUUCGAUGAUACGCGAGGACUUACUCGGGCUGACUGCAGCGACGAUUCAGAGAUGAUGAGUCUUCGGACGCUGGUGAGUGCUGCAUGUGUCGUCAGCUCGUGCGUGAGGUGUCGCUAGUGCAAACGAGGCGCACCUUUCUUAGUGCAUCAGGUAUUGCUUGCACUUGGAACUGCCACGUAUGGUGUGAGAAGGGUGGGAGUAACAUUCAAAUCAGACACAGAGGGCCCCUUACUAUUCUCG